rnacentral:rRNA from 1 species
GUGAGGAAUAUUGGUCAAUGGACGCGAGUCUGAACCAGCCAAGUAGCGUGAAGGAUGACUGCCCUAUGGGUUGUAAACUUCUUUUAUAUGGGAAUAAAGUUGUCCACGUGUGGAUUUUUGUAUGUACCAUAUGUAUAAGGAUCGGCUAACUCCGUGCCAGCAGCCGCGGUAAUACGGAGGAUCCGAGCGUUAUCCGGAUUUAUUGGGUUUAAAGGGAGCGUAGGCGGAUUGUUAAGUCAGUUGUGAAAGUUUGCGGCUCAACCGUAAAAUUGCAGUUGAUACUGGCAGUCUUGAGUGCAGUAGAGGUGGGCGGAAUUCGUGGUGUAGCGGUGAAAUGCUUAGAUAUCACGAAGAACUCCGAUUGCGAAGGCAGCUCACUGGAGUGUAACUGACGCUGAUGCUCGAAAGUGUGGGUAUCAAACAGGAUUAGAAACCCGAGUAGUCC